GGGAAUAUUGCACAAUGGGCGCAAGCCUGAUGCAGCGACGCCGCGUGAGGGAUGACGGCCUUCGGGUUGUAAACCUCUUUCAGUAGGGAAGAAGCGAAAGUGACGGUACCUGCAGAAGAAGCACCGGCUAACUACGUGCCAGCAGCCGCGGUAAUACGUAGGGUGCGAGCGUUAUCCGGAAUUAUUGGGCGUAAAGAGCUCGUAGGCGGUUUGUCGCGUCUGUCGUGAAAGUCCGGGGCUUAACCCCGGAUCUGCGGUGGGUACGGGCAGACUAGAGUGCAGUAGGGGAGACUGGAAUUCCUGGUGUAGCGGUGGAAUGCGCAGAUAUCAGGAGGAACACCGAUGGCGAAGGCAGGUCUCUGGGCUGUAACUGACGCUGAGGAGCGAAAGCAUGGGGAGCAAACAGG
rnacentral:rRNA from 1 species